rnacentral:rRNA from 1 species
AGUGAACGCUGGCGGCAGGCCUAACACAUGCAAGUCGAGCGGCAGCGCGUCCGACCACCCUCGGGUGGUCGGAUGGCGGCGAGCGGCGGACGGGUGAGGAAUGCAUCGGAAUCUGCCUCGUUGUGGGGGAUAACGUAGGGAAACUUACGCUAAUACCGCAUACGACCUACGGGUGAAAGUGGGGGACCUUCGGGCCUCACGCGAUGAGAUGAGCCGAUGCCGGAUUAGCUAGUUGGCGGGGUAAAGGCCCACCAAGGCGACGAUCCGUAGCUGGUCUGAGAGGAUGAUCAGCCACACUGGAACUGAGACACGGUCCAGACUCCUACGGGAGGCAGCAGUGGGGAAUAUUGGACAAUGGGGGCAACCCUGAUCCAGCCAUGCCGCGUGUGUGAAGAA